CCUAGGGAGGUAGCAGUGAGGAAGAUUGGGCAAGGGACGAGAGUCGGAACCAGUCAAGUAGGGGGAAGGAGGAACGACCUAAGGGAUGUAAACUUCUUUUAUAUGGGAAUAAAACGUUCCACGUGUGGGAUUUUGUAUGUACCAUAUGAAUAAGGAUCGGCUAACUCCGUGCCAGCAGCCGCGGUAAUACGGAGGAUCCGAGCGUUAUACGGAUUUAUUGGGUUUAAAGGGGGCGUAAGUGGAUUGUUAAGUCAGUUGUGAAAGUUUGCGGCUCAACCGUAAAAUUGCAGUUGAAACUGGCAGUCUUGAGUACAGUAGAGGUGGGCGGAAUUCGUGGUGUAGCGGUGAAAUGCUUAGAUAUCACGAAGAACUCCGAUUGCGAAGGCAGUUCACUGGACUGCAACUGACACUGAGGCUCGAAAGUGUGGGUAUCAAACAGGAUUAGAUACCCCUGUAGUC
rnacentral:rRNA from 1 species